UACAGGGGGUGCAAACGUUGCUCGGAAUUAUUGGGCGUAAAGCGCGCGUAGGCGGCUACUUAAGUCGGAUGUGAAAGCCCUUGGCUCAACUGAGGAAGUGCACCCGAAACUGAGUGGCUUGAGUACUAAAGAGGGUCGCGGAAUUCCCGGUGUAGAGGUGAAAUUCGUAGAUAUCGGGAGGAACACCGGGUGGCGAAGGCGGCGACCUGGGUAGAUACUGACGCUGAGGCGCGAAAGCGUGGGGAGCAAACAGG
rnacentral:rRNA from 1 species